UACGGAGGAUGCAAGCGUUAUCCGGAUUCAUUGGGUUUAAAGGGUGCGUAGGCGGUCUUAUAAGUCAGUGGUGAAAUACUGCAGCUCAACUGUAGAACUGCCAUUGAAACUGUGAGACUUGAGUGCGCCUGAGGUAGGCGGAAUGAGUAGUGUAGCGGUGAAAUGCUUAGAUAUUACUCAGAACACCGAUUGCGAAGGCAGCUUACUAAAGCGUAACUGACGCUGAUGCACGAAAGCGUGGGGAGCGAAC
rnacentral:rRNA from 1 species